UCAAAAAGACAAGAAGCUGAGGUCAUCAGCUUAUCCACAGGACAAGGAGGAGCCAAGGCCCAGACAGCUCUUUCCCACCCAGCUCUGCUGGUGACCCUCAACCCUGUACCGGCAAGCAGAGGAAACUGAACUCAGUCUCCCUUCUGACUUAUUUUUUCUCCUUU
ensembl:misc_RNA